AUUUAGAUAGUUUAAUUCAAAAUUUUGAAUUGUGGAUUCAAAGAUAUAAGUUUUUAUUCUAGAUA
rnacentral:tRNA from 1 species